rnacentral:misc_RNA from 1 species
GUUUGAUUCCAGAGAAGAAGACCUGCAAUCAGGAGUUCAUUUAGAAAACUUUUGCAUAUGUGGAAUCAGGUGCCUAUAAACAGUUGGGAAAAGUGAACAAGGGCAAUAGUUGUGUAACAUGCUGGACAGAUGAUGGAUAACAAAGAGUACAACCGUUACACCCUCGAUCACAUGCAAAGUUAAACAGGUUAUUAAGUCAGAUCCAAAAAGAGAUCCAAUCAAAAAAAGAAAAACAUAUGAAAAGCUAGAGAAGGUACAGGCAUGGACAGUGGCUAAGAUGACCCUCACUACUCAGUUCAUUUUUGUCUUUCCAUAUUGUAAGUAUAGAAUGGCAUUAAGCCAUACAAAACCCUCUGAAAUAUCCAUUGCUGUUGGUUAAACAUGGCAGAAAAGAUAAUUGAGACUUAAACUGCAAAAGACCAGCAAUCAUAUUGUGAGCCAUUGCCCUUUAUUUUUUGUGUGCACAGCUGUCAUAUAUAUAGGGAUUUUAAUCCAAGAAAAUUGCAAAUUUUAAGAAGCCAUGUGAACUUCCCAUGGUGCAGAUCAAAGAAGGGAGCCCCAAAACACUUUGAGGUCCCCCAUGGUGUUAUGUUGUUGGCUAUACCUUUAUCUAAGUUUUAGUUACUCUGACCUCCUUUACAACAACAACAAGAAAAACUAAGCCUUAACCCCAAACUAGUUGGGGUUGGGGUCAGCUAUAUUUAACUAAAGCCUUCCUACAGGCUAAAUCAGAUUUUGCUGACUAUUCAGAUGCUUAACUAGAAUGUACACCAAUGCCUCCUUGUAUAUUUAGGUAUGGCCCUGCAUGCCUUUGCACGUACAAGUUGAUGUUAGGAGGAAAAGUUUUAAAACAUAUU